ensembl:lncRNA
AGGCCAUAAAAAGGAGAAUCAUGUCUUCUGAUAAACAUGCAAAUGAUUCCUAAUGCUAAAAUUACACAAAUUUCGUACAGCUCCAGGGCAAAGCAGCUUCUUAGAAAUCGUUCAGACAGACGGACACAGAUGCUCUAAGAGACUCCGGUCACUUCUGUGAGACACGGACAUGGACACGGACAUGGUCAGCAACAAUACUCAGGAACAUGCUGGGAUCCAUGCCGGCCAAAACCUGCUGCUCCACUCCACAUUCGAAGAGACCAUGCCAGGCCUGAGCUCACACUCGUACAUCAGGAAGGAAGGAUGGAUGACGCGAUCACAUCCUGAAAAUGAGAUGAGGAGGGGGACGAGAGCCUGGCCCUCUACGCUGUGACAAACGCCACACGGCUUUGUGCUGCUCCCUCGGGACGAUCGGCGGGGAGGAGACAGUGUGGAGGAUCCCAGAACAAAAAAGACAGAGUUAAAGUGAUAGAGAUAUAUUGACAAAAGAUUGAAAGGAUGAAGAGCGAGAGAGAGUGACCCGGUGAAGCACUGACAUUUUUUUUUUCAGAUACUGUUAUGAAACACUGUGGGGGAAUACAUUCAACAUUAUUGUUAGAAUGACUGACACAUUAAGGUUUUUUGUGAUUGUGGUUAUAUAACAUAGCACUUCUCUCCCAUGCUACAUUCAGACUGUAAAACAUUAAAUGCAUUUAGGAAAUGAUGAAAUCUUUUAUAUAACCUGCAAAUUUGCUCUUUUUAUAUAGGGGAAAUGGCCAUUAAUCAAGCUUAUUAAAACUAAUUAACCCAUUUUGCUUCUGCUAACUAGUCGGUUAAAUUUAGGGUAGGCGGUUCAGUAUUAUAGAGCAUUAAAACUAGAGCAAACUGCCAUGAUAUGUACAACAGCCAACAGGAUAAAAUGGUGCUGGAUUGAAGUUCAUCUAUUUCGAAUAAAACUGAACAUGAUUUUAGUGCCAUUUCCAUAGAAACUGGCUUGUAUAAUAAUAUGCCAUUAUGUUAUUACUUUCCAUAGCAACCAUAAACAGACUG